UUUUAUCUUCAGGGCAGGGUGAGGUAACAAUUCCCGACCGGUGGUUAUAGUCCACGAGAAUUUUUUAAUUCUGAUUUGGUGAAAUUCCAAAACCGACAGUAUAGUCUGGAUGGAAGAAGAAAAGA
rfam:Fusobacterium mortiferum ATCC 9817 genomic scaffold supercont2.8, whole genome shotgun sequence.